CGGACGGGUGAGUAAUGUAUGGGGAUCUGCCUGAUGGCGGGGGGUAACUACUGGAAACGGUAGCUAAUACCGCAUAACGUCGCAAGACCAAAGAGGGGGACCUUCGGGCCUCUUGCCAUCGGAUGUGCCCAGAUGGGAUUAGCUAGUAGGUGGGGUAACGGCUCACCUAGGCGACGAUCCCCAGCUGGUCUGAGAGGAUGACCAGCCACACUGGAACUGAGACACGGUCCAG
rnacentral:rRNA from 1 species